rnacentral:rRNA from 1 species
GAAUGCUGACAUAAGUAACGAUAAAGCGGGUGAAAAGCCCGCUCGCCGGAAGACCAAGGGUUCCUGUCCAACGUUAAUCGGGGCAGGGUGAGUCGACCCCUAAGGCGAGGCCGAAAGGCGUAGUCGAUGGGAAACGGGUUAAUAUUCCCGUACUUGGUGUUACUGCGAAGGGGGGACGGAGAAGGCUAUGUUGGCCGGGCGACGGUUGUCCCGGUUUAAGCGUGUAGGUGUGUGUUCCAGGUAAAUCCGGUUCACUUUAACACUGAGGCGUGAUGACGAGGCACUACGGUGCUGAAGCAACAAAUGCCCUGCUUCCAGGAAAAGCCUCUAAGCAUCAGGUAACAUCAAAUCGUACCCCAAACCGACACAGGUGGUCAGGUAGAGAAUACCAAGGCGCUUGAGAGAACUCGGGUGAAGGAACUAGGCAAAAUGGUGCCGUAACUUCGGGAGAAGGCACGCUGACACGUAGGUGAAGUGAUUUACUCAUGGAGCUGAAGUCAGUCGAAGAUACCAGCUGGCUGCAACUGUUUAUUAAAAACACAGCACUGUGCAAACACGAAAGUGGACGUAUACGGUGUGACGCCUGCCCGGUGCCGGAAGGUUAAUUGAUGGGGUCAGCGCAAGCGAAGCUCCUGAUCGAAGCCCCGGUAAACGGCGGCCGUAACUAUAACGGUCCUAAGGUAGCGAAAUUCCUUGUCGGGUAAGUUCCGACCUGCACGAAUGGCGUAAUGAUGGCCAGGCUGUCUCCACCCGAGACUCAGUGAAAUUGAACUCGCUGUGAAGAUGCAGUGUACCCGCGGCAAGACGGAAAGACCCCGUGAACCUUUACUAUAGCUUGACACUGAACAUUGAGCCUUGAUGUGUAGGAUAGGUGGGAGGCUUUGAAGUGUGGACGCCAGUCUGCAUGGAGCCGACCUUGAAAUACCACCCUUUAAUGUUUGAUGUUCUAACGUGGACCCGUAAUCCGGGUUGCGGACAGUGUCUGGUGGGUAGUUUGACUGGGGCGGUCUCCUCCUAAAGAGUAACGGAGGAGCACGAAGGUUGGCUAAUCCUGGUCGGACAUCAGGAGGUUAGUGCAAUGGCAUAAGCCAGCUUGACUGCGAGCGUGACGGCGCGAGCAGGUGCGAAAGCAGGUCAUAGUGAUCCGGUGGUUCUGAAUGGAAGGGCCAUCGCUCAACGGAUAAAAGGUACUCCGGGGAUAACAGGCUGAUACCGCCCAAGAGUUCAUAUCGACGGCGGUGUUUGGCACCUCGAUGUCGGCUCAUCACAUCCUGGGGCUGAAGUAGGUCCCAAGGGUAUGGCUGUUCGCCAUUUAAAGUGGUACGCGAGCUGGGUUUAGAACGUCGUGAGACAGUUCGGUCCCUAUCUGCCGUGGGCGCUGGAGAACUGAGGGGGGCUGCUCCUAGUACGAGAGGACCGGAGUGGACGCAUCACUGGUGUUCGGGUUGUCAUGCCAAUGGCACUGCCCGGUAGCUAAAUGCGGAAGAGAUAAGUGCUGAAAGCAUCUAAGCACGAAACUUGCCCCGAGAUGAGUUCUCCCUGAGACUUAAAGUCUCCUGA